rnacentral:rRNA from 1 species
UACGUAGGGUGCGAGCGUUGUCCGGAAUUAUUGGGCGUAAAGAGCUCGUAGGCGGCUUGUCGCGUCGGAUGUGAAAGCCCGGGGCUUAACUCCGGGUCUGCAUUCGAUACGGGCAGGCUAGAGUUCGGUAGGGGAGAUCGGAAUUCCUGGUGUAGCGGUGAAAUGCGCAGAUAUUAGGAGGAACACCGGUGGCGAAGGCGGAUCUCUGGGCCGAUACUGACGCUGAGGAGCGAAAGCGUGGGGAGCGAACAGG